UGGGGAUUAGCUCAAAGGUAGAGCAUCGGACUUUGACUCCGAAUGUAAUGGUUCGAGUCCAUUAUCCUCAGCCA
rnacentral:tRNA from 2 species